AGUCCGAUUUCAAGCCCAACCCGAUGGGAUUCAGAAAAGCCCGCCCAGCGUCCCCAGGCCCAGCAGUCCACGCCACACCGUCGGCGACGGAUUUCGUUUCUAUUCCCCGCACGCGCCCCAGCAACGCAGAAGGAGAUCCAGUUUCGCCACAACGUUCCCGUUGGCUUGCUGGUUUGAAAGUUGAAGCCCCGGGGUAGUAAAUUUGGCUACAAAAUCUCAAAUCUCGUUAAUCCUAGACAAAAUAAAAACAUAAUAGGCCACAAAUUAACUAGCUUGGGGCGGUUUCUGUGAUGGUCACCUGGCGGUGCGCAAGGAGUUAUAGAACCUUGAGGGGGGGAUCUUUUCUAUCUCUAAUUACCUGUAUGUGUAAAGAACUCAAGAAGACGUCAGAACAGGGUCUCCUAUCAACUGCUACCUAUUGCUGUCUCGCAAACAUCCCCCUAAACCCGCUGCAUCGACAGCUUCGGGUGAGGGUGGGGUAAGAGGCACUUACUGUGAGGCCGAGCUCCCGCACGAAUUAGCCUCACAACAGGACCUAGGUCUCCUAGGGAGACGAAACUAGGCCAGCGAAAUCGCGGCCAGGGAGCCCCUGGCCCCCACUCGGGAGACAACCCGCCCGGCGCGAAGGGUGCGUCUCCUGAGCUCCACGCCGGGAGCUGGAAGGCAGGCAGACGCGCGAGGCUUGGGAAGGGUGGGAUCUUAAAAAAAAAAAAAAAAUCUUAAAAAAGAGAAAUAAAUUUGAACAAAACUAAACUACAAGCCCGCAGUUCCCCGCCGAAAGCGAGGUGGGGGAGGAGGGGGCGGGAACGGUCGAGGCACUGAGAGUGGGGGAUGAGAAACGAACUCCGUCCCCUGCACAGUCAGUGCCUUCGGGGGCUCCACCACCGCGCGCUCCCACCCUCAAGGUCUGCAGGACACACCAAAGAACUCCUCCAAGUCACACAAGGGAGAAAAUUAACUUCAUUGGCUUCUAUCAGGAAAGCUAUUUUUUUUUUCCUCUUCUUUCCUGCAAGUUUCCCAAACCCCAUGACUCUGAUUUCCAGGUCAGAGACUAAGGUUUUAUUUUUCUUACUCUGUAUACUUUAUAUGUGGAGAGUCCCUGAAGGAACACUGUGAUGGGCUGAUUACUGUGAGCCAGUUGUGGGCCAGACCUGGCCUCAGGUGCUGCAAAGGGAAUUCAGUCACCCCUGUGCAGUGAUCUGUGAGCCCCAAGUCAGAUCCAACUUUUUCCUGAUAGACAGCACCCUCCUCCUCCCUACCAAGAAAUAGCAGGGUUGGAGGUAGUGACCCAAUAUUCAAGAGGUUUGAAAUUCUACAUGAGAUAUUUCUGAGUUAACUCCUAAAUAGCAGUUUCCUUAAUCAUGUGGAAAAUAAGAACACUUACUAAAGAGACCAUUGGUUUAAGAGAAAUGGAAACUUAUGUCCACGUAAAAACCUGUAAAUGAAUGUUCACAGCAGCCUUUUCAUAAUAGCCAAAAAGGGAAAGCAAUCCACACGUCCAUCAACCAAUGAAUGGAUAAACUUAACGUGGGAUAUACGUGUAAUGGAAUGCUAUUUGGUGAAGAAAGAAAUGAAAUAUUAAUACAUGCGUUAACAAGGAUGGACCUUAAAAUAUCAUGCUAAGUAAGAGAAGCCUGUCACAAAAGAAUAUGUAUUGUACCA
rnacentral:lncRNA from 1 species